rnacentral:rRNA from 1 species
GAUGCUUUCGGGCAUAGUGGCGCACGGGUGCGUAACGCGUGGGAAUCUGCCUUGGGGUACGGAAUAACUCAUGGAAACGUGAGCUAAUACCGUAUGACGUCUUCGGACCAAAGAUUUAUCGCCCUGAGAUGAGCCCGCGUAGGAUUAGCUAGUUGGUGGGGUAAAGGCCUACCAAGGCGACGAUCCUUAGCUGGUCUGAGAGGAUGAUCAGCCACACUGGGACUGAGACACGGCCCAGACUCCUACGGGAGGCAGCAGUGGGGAAUAUUGGACAAUGGGCGAAAGCCUGAUCCAGCAAUGCCGCGUGAGUGAUGAAGGCCUUAGGGUUGUAAAGCUCUUUUACCCGGGAAGAUAAUGACUGUACCGGGAGAAUAAGCCCCGGCUAACUCCGUGCCAGCAGCCGCGGUAAUACGGAGGGGGCUAGCGUUGUUCGGAAUUACUGGGCGUAAAGCGCACGUAGGCGGCUUCGUAAGUCAGAGGUGAAAGCCCAGGGCUCAACCCUGGAAUUGCCUUUGAGACUGCGAGGCUAGAAGGUGAGAGAGGUGAGUGGAAUUCCGAGUGUAGAGGUGAAAUUCGUAGAUAUUCGGAAGAACACCAGUGGCGAAGGCGGCUCACUGGCUCAUACUUGACGCUGAGGUGCGA